GAAUAAUACUGAUAUUAUCACAAACAGUGACAAAACUAUGUUUUCCAACUAAAUAAAUUAAGCCUGCAUUGAAACAGCUAUGCUAUUUUAUUUGUAGGAAUUAGAACAAACCGCAGCUCUGUGUUGUGCUUUUGCUAAGUCUCAUGAGAGGUAUGUUUACCCAACUGAGAAAAAGGCAGAUUUCCCUGAGUUAGUCUCACACUCAAAGGAUAAAGAUGCCAAAAUAAGCCCUGCCAGAAGCAGCCACAACUGUCACAGGAGUAAAGGAGACAUACAACAGUUGCUACAAAGGCUCUGUUUUGACGAAAGAUUUUAGGCACAGGAGGACAAUCGUGGAAGAAAAUAUCUUUCUUGGAAAUAAACAAUCAAAACAAAGAUAGCCGUGAGAAUAAAAAUACCUUUGACUGGGAUAAUUUGCAAAUGCUGGUAAAGACAAAUCUAUUUUCAGGAAAGGGAGGUGGCAAAAGAAGGGCAUGGAAAACCUUUCAUGUGAAAAGAGAUUGAAAUGAACACGUGGAUGAGAAAGGAAAAGAACAAAGGGCACUCAACUAAAUUAAAAGGUAUCAGAUGUACUGGGCCAAUUUGAGGCCUUCUUCUAGAGCCCUGCCUGUCCUCCUCACAGAUCAGAAGCUGGGCUUCAGCUGCCCAUUUGGAACAUCACUGCAGAGAGCAGAUAUCUUCUAUAAUUCACCAUAACACCAGGUAAUCCCUACUCAGAAUAUGUGAUUUAUAGCUAAAAGACCUGAGAGCCUGUUGGACUAGGAAGAAGCCAAACCAAACUCAGCAGAGUUUGUGCAAAUUGUUAACUUAUGGCACUGUGUAAGUCCCAGGGAUCAUUUCCUCCUCUACGAUGGCGUUUUUAGUUAUUGCUUUGUUGUUGUUGUUGCUGUGACUUUCCAUCUUUCUUAUUGUAAGCUCCUUAAAUCUGGGAUCAAGAUUUCCUAGCAGUUAACACAGUGCCUGACCCAUCAACACCCAGGCUCCCCAUGAGUCUAUUCAGUGCUACCAAAAUCAUGGAG
rnacentral:lncRNA from 13 species